GCAAGUAUCCGAGGCCAAGGGCAUUGUGGUCAGUGAGGAGGUGGCCCCCGCAGUAGAAUCCAUCGUGUCGGAGUGUCCUAACCUGAAGACCAAACUCCUGGUGUCUCCACACAGCCGGGAAGGGUGGCUCAGCUUCCACCAGUUAUUCCAAUCUGCCUCUGAAGAGCACCGCUGUGUGGAGACAGGAAGUCAAGAACCAAUGGCCAUUU
rnacentral:lncRNA from 1 species